rnacentral:rRNA from 1 species
UACGUAGGGCGCAAGCGUUGUCCGGAAUUAUUGGGCGUAAAGAGCUCGUAGGCGGCCAGUUGCGUCCGCUGUGAAAUCCCAGGGCUUAACCCUGGGCGUGCAGUGGAUACGGGCUGGCUGGAGGCAGGCAGGGGAGAACGGAACUUCCCGGUGUGAGCGGUGAAAUGCGCAGAUAUCGGGAGGAACACCGGUGGCGAAGGCGGUUCUCUGGGCCUGUACUGACGCUGAGGAGCGAAAGCGUGGGGAGCGAACAGG